rnacentral:rRNA from 1 species
GGAGUCUGGUCCGUGUCUCAGUACCAGUGUGGGGGACCUUCCUCUCAGAACCCCUACUGAUCGUAGCCUUGGUGGGCCGUUACCCCGCCAACAAGCUAAUCAGACGCAUCCCCAUCCCAUACCGACGAGUCUUUGUUCCUCAUAAGAUGCCCAACAAGGAAAACAUAGAGUAUUAAUCCGACUUUCGCCGGGCUAUCCCCACGUAUGAGGCAGGUUGCCCACGCGUUACUCACCCGUCCGCCACUAAGAUUAAACAAGAUUUGACCGAAGUCUCCUCAGCGUCUAAUCUCCGUUCGACUUGCAUGUGUUAGGCACGCCGCCAGCGUUCAUC